rnacentral:rRNA from 1 species
CAGCCGCCACGGUAAUACGGAGGGAGCUAGCGUUGUUCGGAAUUACUGGGCGUAAAGCGCGCGUAGGCGGUUACUCAAGUCAGAGGUGAAAGCCCGGGGCUCAACCCCGGAACUGCCUUUGAAACUAGGUGACUAGAAUCUUGGAGAGGUCAGUGGAAUUCCUAGUGUAGAGGUGAAAUUCGUAGAUAUUCGGAAGAACACCAGUGGCGAAGGCGACUGACUGGACAAGUAUUGACGCUGAGGUGCGAAAGCGUGGGGAGCAAACAGGAUUAGAUACCCCGGUAGUCCCUGUCUCUUAUAC